rnacentral:pre_miRNA from 14 species
AUCUAAAUGUUAUACCGAAAGAACCCCGGAGCGGGGAGACCCUCACUCAAGUCUUGGGAUGACGCGACCCCCCAAGAACUCACACAAGACC